ACAGUCACUGACAUUAGAUACCCCUGUAGUCCAGGGUGUAAACGCUGCAGACUUGGUGUUGGAGGCCCUUUGGGGGCAUUCAGUGCCGGAGAGAAGUUGUUAAGUCUGCUACUUGGGGAGUACGUCCGCAAGGAUGAAACUUAAAGGAAUUGGCGGGGGAGCACCGCAACGGGAGGAGCGUGCGGUUUAAUUGGAUUCAACACCGUAAAACUCACCAGGGAAGACUGUUACAUGAAGGCCGAGAUGAAGACUCUGCUAGAUUCUCAG
rnacentral:rRNA from 1 species